rnacentral:rRNA from 1 species
AACGCGAAGAACCUUACCAGUCCUUGACAUGUGAAGUAUGGGCUUGAGAGAUCAAGCCCUUCGGUUCGGCCGGCUUCAACACAGGUGCUGCAUGGCUGUCGUCAGCUCGUGUCGUGAGAUGUUGGGUUAAGUCCCGCAACGAGCGCAACCCUCAUCUUUAGUUGCCCCCGGGUCAGGCCGGGCACUCUAAAGAAACCGCCGGUGACAAGCCGGAGGAAGGCGGGGAUGACGUCAAGUCCUCAUGGCCCUUACGGACUGGGCUACACACGUACUACAAUGGUGGUGACAGUGGGCUGCGAAGGAGCGAUCCGGAGCCAAUCCCCAAAAGCCAUCUCAGUUCAGAUUGCACUCUGCAACUCGAGUGCAUGAAGUUGGAAUCGCUAGUAAUCGCAGAUCAGCACGCUGCGGUGAAUACGUUCCCGGGCCUUGUACACACCGCUAGUC